AUUCUUAACUGAUUCCCCUAGUAAAUAUGUUUAACACUUGCCUUGGUUUCCUGUACAUGAUUCAUUCGGUUGGGAGAAGAAAUGGAGUCAAAUAAGCACGCAAUGGC
rnacentral:lncRNA from 1 species